rnacentral:rRNA from 1 species
GACGAACGCUGGCGGCGUGCUUAACACAUGCAAGUCGAGCGGUAAGGCUCCUUCGGGAGUACACGAGCGGCGAACGGGUGAGUAACACGUGAGCAAUCUGCCCUUCACACGGGGAUAACCCUCGGAAACGAGAGCUAAUACCCGAUACGACCACUUCAGGCAUCUGAUGGUGGUGGAAAGUUCCGGCGGUGAAGGAUGAGCUCGCGGCCUAUCAGCUUGUUGGUGGGGUAACGGCCCACCAAGGCAACGACGGGUAGCCGGCCUGAGAGGGUGACCAGCCACACUGGGACUGAGACACGGCCCAGACUCCUACGGGAGGCAGCAGUGGGGAAUAUUGGACAAUGGGCGAAAGCCUGAUCCAGCAACGCCGCGUGAGGGAUGACGGCCUUCGGGUUGUAAACCUCUUUCAGCAGGGACGAAGCGCGAGUGACGGUACCUGCAGAAGAAGCACCGGCCAACUACGUGCCAGCCGCCGCCGUAA